UGGGGAAUUUUGGACAAUGGGCGAAAGCCUGAUCCAGCAAUGCCGCGUGUGUGAAGAAGGCCUUCGGGUUGUAAAGCACUUUUGUCCGGAAAGAAAUCCUUGGCUCUAAUACAGUCGGGGGAUGACGGUACCGGAAGAAUAAGCACCGGCUAACUACGUGCCAGCAGCCGCGGUAAUACGUAGGGUGCAAGCGUUAAUCGGAAUUACUGGGCGUAAAGCGUGCGCAGGCGGUUUGCUAAGACCGAUGUGAAAUCCCCGGGCUCAACCUGGGAACUGCAUUGGUGACUGGCAGGCUAGAGUAUGGCAGAGGGGGGUAGAAUUCCACGUGUAGCAGUGAAAUGCGUAGAGAUGUGGAGGAAUACCGGUGGCGAAGGCAGCCCCCUGGGCCAAUACUGACGCUCAUGCACGAAAGCGUGGGGAGCAAACAGGAUUAGAUACCCUGGUAGUCCACGCCCUAAACGAUGUCAACUAGUUGUUGGGGAUUCAUUUCCUUAGUAACGUAGCUAACGCGUGAAGUUGACCGCCUGGGGAGUACGGUCGCAAGAUUAAACUCAAGGAAUUGACGGGGUCAUAGCUGUUU
rnacentral:rRNA from 1 species